rnacentral:rRNA from 1 species
AACGCGUGGGAACAUACCCUUCUCUAAGGAAUAGCCACUGGAAACGGUGAGUAAUACCUUAUACGCCCUUCGGGGGAAAGAUUUAUCGGAGAAGGAUUGGCCCGCGUUAGAUUAGAUAGUUGGUGGGGUAAUGGCCUACCAAGUCUACGAUCUAUAGCUGGUUUGAGAGGAUGAUAGCAACACUGGGACCGAGACACGGCCCAGACUCCUACGGGAGGCAGCAGUGGGGAAUCUUAGACAAUGGGCGCAAGCCUGAUCUAGCCAUGCCGCGUGAGUGAUGAAGGCCCUAGGGUCGUAAAGCUCUUUCGCCAGAGAUGAUAAUGACAGUAUCUGGUAAAGAAACCCCGGCUAACUCCGUGCCAGCAGCCGCGGUAAUACGGAGGGGGUUAGCGUUGUUCGGAAUUACCGGGCGUAAAGCGCGCGUAGGCGGACUAUUAAGUUAGAGGUGAAAUCCCGGGGCUCAACCCCGGAACUGCCUUUAAUACUGGUAGUCUUGAGUUCGAGAGAGGUGAGUGGAAUUCCAAGUGUAGAGGUGAAAUUCGUAGGUAUUUGGAGGAACACCAGUG